CUCCUGACCUCAGGUGAUCCGCCUGCCUCGGCCUCCCAAAGUGCUGGGAUUACAGGCAUGAACCACCACUACCAGUUGGCUUUUAAUCUUAUAUCUUGACUAAAUUCAAUUAAUUCUAAUAGUGUUUUAAUGAAUUAGGUUUUUCCAAAUAUAAGACCACAUCAUCUGCAAACAAAGAUAAUUUUACUUCUUCCUUUCCAAUUUGGGUGCCCCUUUUUGCCCUCUUAUUGCUCUAGUUAGCACUUCUAGUAUGAUUUUGAAUAACAGUGGUAAAAGUGUGCAUCCUUUGUGCCUCUUCUUUUGUCUUCUUCAGAUACAGACACCUUAUCAGAAUGGUUUUGGGUUUAGGCUCCCAACUUUACAGGGUAAUUUGUCCUCAGCCAUCCUUUUGUCUUUUCCUGGUCCUAAGCUUCAGAACUGUCUAGGGACGAUCUCACAUGCCCACAGUAGCCAUGUCUCGUGGAGUGUUUAGGGAAUAACAGUUCCUGCACCAUUUCCUUAUAGUGGAUGGCCUGAGGUAUGGGGUGGACCCUCUCAGGGGAGCAGCUAGGUGCCCUGGUGCUCAGAGCACGCUGUGGUUUACACUUCAUUUAAAAAGCCACAUCCUCGUGACAUUAAGAUUUUCUUUUUCCCAUCCACUUUCCAGUUUUUUGGAGACACGUUGCUGUUCGGCCAAUGGAAUUCUGAUAUUGAGGGGAAAGGCAGAAAUAAUUUCCACCAUCUGGAUUUUUUUCAGAAUUGUGAAGGAAGAAAAAGAUAAUAUCCUCGAAGACAAAGUCCAUUCUAGCAAGAUGGUGCAAGGACCUGCCCAAAAAAAAAAAAAAAAAAAAACUCUCAGUCUUCAAACAGUCCUGCAAUAGGAAUAUCAGCCUACUUUCAUCCCUUCUGGACAACGAUGGUCCUCCACAUUUUCCUCUGGACACUGCAUGUUGAACUUUCUGGAAGAACAUUGAGGGAAUCUGUUUCUGACAAAGAGCAAGAUAAUGACACACUGAUGAGUUCUUUAUAUCAGCAGGAAGUAGUUACAGAAGACCCACAGUGUCCCUAGACUCAAAGAUUUAUAGUCUCAAUCUAUUGAGGAGGAAAUUUUAGAGCAGGCAGUUAGUUAGACAUGAGCAGAAAAAAAGAGCUCCUGGGGGAGAAAUAAUCUCAUGCUUCAAAGACAACCCAAAACAUGUAUGCUAAAUUUGAACAGAGAGGAGUGGAAAUGCCUAUGAAUAAAGUACACCUGGAAACACCCCUUAAGACACCCAGUAAUUGCUCAUACUGUGAUUAAACUGUCAAGAUGUAGCUAGCUACAUGCUAAUAAAAAGGGGGAAAGGGCAAAAGGAAAAUUCCUAAGAGAUAUGUAGGCACAAUAAGUACAGAUUUGAAUGCUAUGUGAUUUUCCUGGGGUGAUGGUAAUUAGCAAUGCUGCCAUUAACUCAUUGAUCGCUGGAACAAUCAGCUGACAGUAAGGAAGCAUCUCACAGACCUGGGCAGAAACUCAGUGAGGAUAAAAAAAGAGAUUUACCUGGAAGCAGGAAACUAAACAAAGACAAAGGCCACUUAAGACAGAGAUGGAAAUUUUUUUGUUAAAAUCUAUGAUAAUAAAAACGGCAACAUGUAACUCUCAAGGCUGUUUCCAGCUGGACCACCCCCCUCCUCUUUUAGUGUGUACUUUAUUUUCCUUUAAUAAGCUCUUGGCUUGCUUC